rnacentral:lncRNA from 1 species
UUCGCUUUGUCGAGAAUUCGCCUCCAAAAUGUAGUCCUCGACAAGUCACAAAUGUUCGAAGUAACAAAAAUGUAUAUUCAAACAAAACAUAAAAUUUACCGAAGAUAUAUAACAAAAUUAAAAGGUUCACAAUGGUCACGAUUACGUAUAGGUAGCGCACGGGCUAUUAUCCUUCUUUCACACAAUACAAUUUGUCUCUCUCACUGUCACAGUCCAACUACGAUUGUUCAACUAACUCUCUGCUCUCUUUCGUGACUAUUUCACUCACACCCUCACUUUGACACCUAAUCAUUCCUACGUCAUGCACUAAUAAUCAAUUAAAAUAAUAA